rnacentral:rRNA from 1 species
CGGGUGAGUAACACGUAUGCAACCUGCCUGCCACAGCCGGAUAAUCGGGAGAAAUUCCGUCUAAUACGGCAUAAUGCAUCGACGGGACAUCCUGUUGGUGCCAAAGGUUAAUUCCGGUGGCGGAUGGGCAUGCGUCGCAUUAGUUAGUUGGCGGUGUAACGGACCACCAAGACGACGAUGCGUAGGGGUUCUGAGAGGAAGGUCCCCCACACUGGUACUGAGACACGGACCAGACUCCUACGGGAGGCAGCAG